rnacentral:tRNA from 1 species
GAGAGUAUAGCUCAGUGGUAGAGCGUGUGCUUAACAUGCACGAGGUCCUGGGUUCGAUCCCUGGUAUCUCCA